rnacentral:tRNA from 2 species
GCGCGAGUGGCGAAAUCAGGUAGACGCGCCGGAUUUAGGUUUCGGUGUCUUCGGACGUGCGGGUUCGAGUCCCGCCUCGCGCA